rnacentral:sRNA from 1 species
CAUUGCACACACAGAGUUGCAGCGAACCCCCUUGCGAAUGGUGAGAUUGUCUCGGUCGGUCCUCCCUCGGCUGCUGCUUUCGUGGCUCUCUGGCCAGCCCAAGUUCACGCCCCCGGGCCGGACUCCCGUGUUCGGUUUGGCUGGCCUGGUCGGUUGGGACUUGGUGAUGGCGCGAUGCAUCACAAACAAUAUGAUGACUGAGUAUAAAACAAAACUGGGGCCCCGCUCACAUGCGUGUGCGUGUGUGUGCAGGUGCGGAGUUGUGCGAUCAAAUGAAACAACUCUCAGCAACGGAUAUCUUGGCUCCUGCAACGAUGAAGAACGCAGCGAAAUGCGAUACGUAGUGUGAAUUGCAGAAUUCCGCGAAUCAUCGAGUCUUUGAACGCAAGUUGCGCCCGAGGCUUGCCCUCUGGCAUUUCUACCAGAGCGUCACCGCGACACCCACCGACCACUCUCCUUGUGCGCGUGGGGGUUGAGUGAAAGUGGCCGUCCCGGCGGAUGGGGGCUGGGUCGAGGCCCCGCCUCCAAUGGCCGGGUUGGCUGAAAUGGAGGGAAUUUGGCCGCCGUGGUGUGACACAGCCGGCGAUCGGGUGAUCCAAGUCCUCUUGGAACUCAAUGUGCGUCGGCCGCGUCCCCCAGUUGGUACCGAGGAUUCCAAAGCAGGUCCUCUCCAGAAACAGAGAGUGCAAAAGGGGGAAAAAACCGUCACGCAUCAGA